UCCACUCCCAUACUUAUUCCCAGUUUAGUUUUGUGGCUUGUUCCGAAACUAAUAAUAUUUUCGAACUCAUGUUCCUGAGUUUGUUCCUCUGGUUUAGGUUCGUAGCUCCCUUUUUUCUGCCUUUUCUCAUCUUUCCCAAAUGAUACUACUAAUCCUGCACCUGACUCUGAACCUUGUUUGCAGGUAUGACUUCCUUUAUAUGUUACUUGAACAAGUGAUGAAUCAUCAUCUGAUUUUUGAACUUGCUUCGUAGCCAAACAGCCUUGCGAGUGACGAUAGGUGCAUCGAUAAUAAGCCCUUGAGAAUGAAAUUUGUAGAAAGUUGUCAGCGGAAAAGAAAUAUAAAAUGAUGAUUACUCUGUAGAUGCAAAUGACAACAGUUUACAGAUUGAUUUGUUCUAGUGCUCAAAGGCAAGUUCAAGUGUCAAUUGUGGAGGGACCAUAAGAAAGAUUUGAACUUAAACUCCUAAAGUAUCCUAUCAAAAGAAGCAAGUGGCCAGAGUUUUUGCACAUGACUUUUGUUUGAUUGUUAUGAUCAAAUUUGUCAAGUAAACUAGUUGCAUACGAAACAACAUACAGUAUGGAAAGUCAAAAUAGUAGUAUGGUUGAGUUUCUCUCACACCUUG
rnacentral:lncRNA from 1 species